rnacentral:rRNA from 1 species
GAGUUUGAUCCUGGCUCAGGAUGAACGCUAGCGGCAGGCCUAACACAUGCAAGUCGAACGGUAACAGGAAUUAGCUUGCUAAUUUGCUGACGAGUGGCGCACGGGUGCGUAACGCGUAUACAAUCUACCUUUUGCUGAGGGAUAGCCCAGAGAAAUUUGGAUUAAUACCUCAUAGUAUUAUUGAUAGGCAUCUAUUAAUAAUUAAAGGUUACGGCAAAAGAUGAGUAUGCGUCCCAUUAGCUAGUUGGCGAGGUAACGGCUCACCAAGGCAACGAUGGGUAGGGGUCCUGAGAGGGAGAUCCCCCACACUGGUACUGAGACACGGACCAGACUCCUACGGGAGGCAGCAGUGAGGAAUAUUGGACAAUGGGCGAGAGCCUGAUCCAGCCAUGCCGCGUGCAGGAAGACUGCCCUAUGGGUUGUAAACUGCUUUUAUACAGGAAGAAUAAGCCUUACGUGUAAGGUGAUGACGGUACUGUAAGAAUAAGGACCGGCUAACUCCGUGCCAGCAGCCGCGGUAAUACGGAGGGUCCGAGCGUUAUCCGGAAUUAUUGGGUUUAAAGGGUCCGUAGGCGGAUGAUUAAGUCAGGGGUGAAAGUUUGCAGCUCAACUGUAAAAUUGCCUUUGAUACUGGUUAUCUUGAGUUGUAUUGAAGUAGGCGGAAUAUGUAGUGUAGCGGUGAAAUGCAUAGAUAUUACAUAGAAC